UACGUAGGGUGCAAGCGUUAAUCGGAAUUACUGGGCGUAAAGCGUGCGCAGGCGGUGAGCUGUGUCCGAUGUGAAAUCCCCGGGCUCAACCUGGGAAUUGCAUUUGUGGACUGCAUGGCUGGAGUGCGGCAGAGGGGGAUGGAAUUCCGCGUGUAGCAGUGAAAUGCGUAGAUAUGCGGAGGACACCGAUGGCGAAGGCAAUCCCCUGGGCCUGCACUGACGCUCAUGCACGAAAGCGUGGGGAGCAACAGG
rnacentral:rRNA from 1 species